CAACAUGCUCACACACUGAACAAACCCAUGGAAAAGACCUCGCUCUCAGCAGAGUGUUACCGGCACACCAGGAAAUCCUUUUUAAUCCCCUUCCUAGUCAAUAUUUAUCCUUCUCCAUCGAGUCCAGCAUCUGUGCUUCCGAAACAGUUACCCUUAUGCCAUCUGGUCCUGUGGCCUAUCAAAACCAGAUCUCAGUGGGGUGAGGAGGAGAAGGUGCCAAAUCCAUGGUGCCUGAAGACAGCUCAGCACAGCCAGCAGUGUGGAGAGCAACAGCCUUGCUAAGCUGGUUCCACAGGAAGCAUUCACAUGCUCUGAGAAGUUGCAUUCCCAUCAGUAGUAGAAUAUUCAUUUUUUUACUUUCCUGAUAUAAGGAGAUUUCUUAAUUAAAAGUUUCACAAGUA